GACGAACGCUGGCGGCGUGCCUAAUACAUGCAAGUCGAGCGGACGAAUCGAAAGCUUGCUUUUGAUUCGUUAGCGGCGGACGGGUGAGUAACACGUGGGCAACCUGCCCUGUAGACGGGGAUAACACCGAGAAAUCGGUGCUAAUACCGGAUAACACGAAAUGUCGCAUGACGUUUCGUUGAAAGACGGCGCAAGCUGUCGCUACAGGAUGGGCCUGCGGCGCAUUAGCUAGUUGGUGAGGUAACGGCUCACCAAGGCGACGAUGCGUAGCCGACCUGAGAGGGUGAUCGGCCACACUGGGACUGAGACACGGCCCAGACUCCUACGGGAGGCAGCAGUAGGGAAUCUUCCGCAAUGGACGAAAGUCUGACGGAGCAACGCCGCGUGAGCGAAGAAGGCCUUCGGGUCGUAAAGCUCUGUUGUUAGGGAAGAACAAGUAACGCAGUAACUGGCGUUACCGUGACGGUACCUAACGAGAAAGCCACGGCUAACUACGUG
rnacentral:rRNA from 1 species